CCGCCCGGAACCACCGGUCAAAUCGUAGCGUAGGGCGAAUAACCGCAUCGCGGUUAUCCGCCGAUUGUGCAGGGCCGCGGCGGAUAACGCCUAUGGCGUUA
rnacentral:sRNA from 1 species